rnacentral:tRNA from 1 species
GCGGGUGUAGCUCAGUUGGUAGAGCAACAGGUUGUGGUUCUGUGGGUCGCCAGUUCGAUCCUGGUCGCUCGCCCCA